rnacentral:rRNA from 1 species
UGGCGGACGGGUAAGUAACGCGUGGGUAACCUGCCCUGUACAGGGGGAUAACAGUUGGAAACGGCUGCUAAAACCGCAUAACAUGGAGAUACCGCAUGAUAUUUCCAUCAAAUAUUUAUAGGUACAGGAUGGGCCCGCGUCUGAUUAGCCAGUUGGCAGGGUAAUGGCCUACCAAAGCGACGAUCAGUAGCCGGCUUGAGAGAGUGACCGGCCACAUUGGGACUGAGACACGGCCCAAACUCCUACGGAAGGCAGCAG